CUUAAGGUAAAUUUAAUAUUUCUAUGCAUAAGGCAUUGUAUACGGAAGUCAUUUGAUGUUGUUUACAUUGCUUAGGAUACAAUUUAUCUAAUUAGAGACUUGAAAGAGGGACUUGCUGGACCCUUAGGGAUUGGAAAGGAUCUCUGGUACCUCAACACGAAACGAUUGACACGACGAAGAACCGGGAACUGCAACCGGAACGCCGCGAGGCCGCGGACUUAACUGCCUGGCGAUCGACGGACGCUGAGCGCUUUAAACGGAACGGAAUCUCGGACGGAAUCCACUGAACACUGAACGCUGAACAUGAACGCGAUCUCAAGAAGCUCCUCCGAUGUCCGCUGGGCUCGCCAAUUGAACAGAAAUCGGCACAACCCCCAAUACUCUCUUUGGGUAUUUCAAAUGACCAAGUAAAUGAUUUUGUUAUUGCUCAACUUGCGUGAGAUACAUCCUAAAGUGGAAAAUUGCAACCCGAAGGGUGCGAGAAAGCAGCAAGCUGAGAAAAUUACGCAUACGCCACGCUGCCAGAUGGCAGAUGCCAAGGUACUGCGAUGAGAUGAAACGCUUUCCCAUCUUCGUAUUUGUCAUUUUAAUUAGAGCGUGGUGCAGGUGCACCGCUUUUGGGGGAAAGGGCAAAGGGGAAGGAAAAUAUUCUAGCUAUGUGCGAGAAAUGCUUUCGAACACAAAUUGGCCAGCGCAAUCUGGCUUCCUCAAAUGAUAGGGCCCCAUUAUAGGCCCAAUUUACAUAAUACAUGAGCUGAGAAAUUUAAGCGGGGCUGAAAAUAAAACUAAUAUGGGGUCAUUGCUCGCCGACUUGGAUCAGUGAUAGUUGAGUGGGAGUCCGCCAAAGGUUGACUUACAUAAGUCGGCCAUUGAGCCACCAAAAGCCAAUUAGG